CUGUUGAUUCCCGGAAGUUGUGACAGCGUGUUCCUCAACACAACCACAACAAUGAAAGCUAUCAUUCAGAGGGUCACGAAGGCGAGUGUGACAGUGGGCGAGGAGCAGAUCAGCUCGAUCGGACGUGGACUGUGUGUGCUGCUGGGCAUAUCUGUGGAGGACACGCAGAGGGAUGCUGAGUACAUGGUGCGUAAGAUCCUGAACCUGAGGCUGUUCGAGGACGAGCACGGCCGAGCGUGGAGCAAAAGUGUCAUGGAGCGAGACUUUGAGGUUCUGUGUGUGAGCCAGUUCACCCUGCAGUGCAUCCUGAAGGGCAACAAGCCGGACUUCCACUCGGCCAUGCCCGCAGAACUCGCUCAGCCUUUCUACGACAGCAUCCUGGAGAACAUGAGGAGCACCUACAAACCGGAGCUCAUUAAAGAUGGGAAGUUUGGGGCUCGCAUGCAGGUCCACAUUCAAAACGACGGACCGGUCACCAUCGAACUGAUAUCACCGACUGGACCCACAGACCCCAAACAGCUAUCAAAGCAGGAGAAGCAGCAGCAGAGGAAAGAGAAGACGCGCUCCAAGGGUCCCUCUGAGUCCGGCAGGGAGAAGGUCGCCCAGCGUUCUCGACAGGACCCCAACGCCAGCAGUGGGGCAGAGGGCGACGUGUCUUCGGAGAGGGAGCCUUAGGACAUCGAGGUGAACGGGAAAUAUGCACACACACAUGCAGUCAGAAGGAGGAUGUGGUUACCUCAGGCACACGGCUCUGACUAUGUCGUACUGGGGACAUGACGGUGAGCCCAGUUUCCUCAGGAAGGCCUUAAACCUCAGCGACUCUUUCACCUGAUCCUGGACUGUCCUUCCUGUUUGGAAAUCAGCAGGAUUCGUUCAGCCUGUUCAGCCUCUCCCCUCCACACUCAGAUAGGACCGGCUACAUGUAGCAAAGAUGAUGUCUGGCCACAUGACACUGCACAGUUUUCUUAGAUUUGUGAGGGGAGGGGAGGCGUGGGUGAUGGCAACAUCGUAAAACCGUGCAGCCCAGUAGCUUUAUGUGCUCGGCUUUCCUUUUCCCCUCGCUCCCUUUCUUUCCAUCUUUUCAUGUUUCUGCCACCAUCUGUCUCUUUGUCUUUUGCUUUCUCUCUGUCUGUUCUGACUUAGUCUCUGUUUAGAGACACGACUCUGACCCUGAAGCACAGCUCAGCUCCAAGUUUACACUGCAGGAACAUCAUGGUAGUGAGAAUGUACCAAGCUUGUUAUAUAAAUUUUUGAGGUCUAAGAGGUUAUUUUACCUUUUUGAGUAGCAGAUUUUGUUUAAGGUCAAACUGAAGUUGCUACCACCGUCUGCUCUGUAAAAGAAAUGGCACUGUUGUUUGUAGCUGGACAAGUUUACGUUUCAUAUGCAAAGACUUGAGAUUAAACUUCUGUAAAGUCAGCCAUUGGUUAGUGAAGUCCUCAAGCUCAGUCUUUUUGGCCUUACCUUCUUAAUUUGAAACUAAAUGUGCACCUGGAUCCUGCUUUCUCCUAAUUCUGGCUGUAAAUUUGCAAAAUAAACAUCAUGUUUUAGUGAAGAAGACCGAAAAAUAUCAGCAGGGCACAUAAACACAUCACCAGUAUUUACUUUUCCUUCUUUUUUUUAAUUUGAGAUCACUGAUGAAUUUUUCCCACACUGAUUUCUGUACAAAUGGACUGCUUUUUUUUUUUAGCAGCUAGUUGAGUCGCCCCCUGCUGGCCUUUUGCAUGGUCUUCACUUUCUGGAAUCAGAAGCUACGUCACUAAUAAGUAGACGGCCGUCUGCAGCAACACCCCACAAAAGCUUCAAACAACAGCCUGCAUUAAAUCUCCAGCUACAUGUAAGCAUGAUGCUGCACGCCGACUUGCUAAGUUAGCUAACAAACAUCCACUGGGUAAAAGUGCAUUGCUAACAACAUUAGUUUGGCUAACCAGCCGAGUCUGGGCUAACUACUGUCUGCUAGCAACUUAGUGACGUAGCAUAAAGAUGGCUGUGUAUCAUGUAGCUCAUUUAGCGGCGCACAUUUCUGCUUGCACUGACUCAGCUUUCACUGACACAUGAACGGUAACCAACUAACUCAGAGGCUGCCAGGGUGGUUUUGAUGCCCCAAAUCAUUAUUGUCUCUUCAUUAACAGAAAUAAGAAUAGCUUUACACUUUAAAAUCACUACAGCAGACGGAGAUGUGAUUUCAGUUGGACUUUAAAUGCUAAAACGUGACCUGCGUCUCAGUGUGUUCCUCAAUUUAUUGACCCACUCAGUGGAAAUGACUCUAGAAAAGGUGCUGCAGUCGAUUGUAAGACCCGGAUCGAGUUUCUGCGACUGCCCCGUUCACCUGUGCUUCACACCUGCGACGAGGGGCCAGCUGCACCUCACUAUCAGUGUGACCGGACAAACUCUGACAUCAGCUAUUUAAUCAUGUUUCUCAUUGUGACGCUGUCCUGCUGUCACUCGACAGAUCUGAAUGUACGUUUUGUUGUCGUUUUUAUAAAGGUGUAUGAAAGAAGCGUCUCUCUGUUUGUGUUGGAUUCUGCUCAUUAUAAUGCAAACAGCAGGGAUGCUUGGCCUUAUUUCUACUUUCAGCAUCACCACCUGGCCGCUGUGCUGUCCCAACUUUAGCUUUCCUCUUUUUUUGGUUGGCUAUUCUUGGCCAACCACGCUAUAACCCUCUCAUCCCUUUCCUUCUGAUUUGAGAUUGCGGUGGAGAGGAAGAGGAGCUGCUGCAUCCUGGAUAUGGGAGCUAUCUGAGAGGGAAGACAUGACCCAGAUAUGUCUGCUAGCUAGCUACCUAGCCUUGGUGUUUCAAACUGUGCUAGAACUGCAGCUUUCCUCUGCAGUGACUGCAUUGUGGUCCCAAUGCCAGAGGAAGGAGGAGGUAGGCUGUGUGGGUUAUUGACCAGGGGAGGGCUGGUGCAGGACAGAUGUCUCGCUGUGGGGAAUCACCUGUUUGCGUGUGUGGAUGUGGACGUCCUGAGCUGCUGGGCAGGGCAGUGGGUGCGGUGUGAGGCGGACAUGGGAAACUGGGUUAAAUUCCAGGCAUUCUCCUACAUCUGAAGCCCCACUGUUUCUGGUUUGUCUUUUCUACAACUUAUCUUACAUCUUGUGUGUGUGAGCGAGUCCUUUGCCAAGCCUACUGGCUAUGGAAAAACAAUUUAACUGGAUUUAAUUUGUUGCCCCCCUCCUCCUUCUCCCCACCCACUCCUCCUCCUUCCUCUUCCCUCCUUCCCCACAGUUAUUUCUUACGUCUGGGAGGUUGGGGGAAUUCAGCUUGUUUAGUAACUCCGUGCCGAGUCUGAUGUAGUUUCGGAGGUUAGACAGGCCCGGUUUCAUGGCAGCUUAAAGGCCUCGAAUCAUGUCGGCAUCAUCACGACACGAGAGAGUAAACAAUUCCCAACUGAUUUAGAAGAACGUUUUCCAGGACACAUCAGAAGCCGAUGUAGAAGUGUCGCUCGUAUCCUGGUUGCCCUUAGAUCACUCUGGGCUCUUUGCUCUAAAGGGUUAAUAAGGCACCAUGAAACCAGUUGCCUAGAGCCCUGACCACUUUUUUCCAUUCUUGCUGGAAAGUUUCCAGUGCUAUUUAUAUGAAACCUCAGGCCCCACAAUCAAGAAACCCACUUGGCCGGGAUCGAGUAUUAUCCAUUAUCCCGAAGUUCAGCUUCGCUCAAAGAGUGCUGCAUUAAAAAACCAUCAGAAAUGGCAGAGACAUGCUGGAAUCGGUGGUCCGUAUCAUCUCUGUGGACACAGAACAAUCUGCAGCGAACAAGUAGGCAACAUGUACAAGCAGGCACCGGAGAAAUCAAUCCACAUGACCUAACGACUGUUGUAUAACCAAAGAAAAUAUUACAGCACAUCUAAUCUGCCCCGGGUCUGAUAGAUGAUGUGUAGUAAAAGACCAGAUAUGUGAAGAGAACCGAACUGUUUUUUAUUCUUUUCAAAUCCAUGUUCACAGGGGCCGAUGUUUAGUUUUGACUAUAAUAUCAUCAUAUUUUAAAGUAAGAUUAAUACCGGUAUUAUUUACAGAAGCCUUGAAGGCGUAGCCAAAGUGUUUGGCUCUGUGUGAGUGAGUGGUUUUAGUGAAAACUACAACUUAAGAACUCUAUACUACUAUUAUUGUUCAAUUUUCUGUGAGUAUAAGCUGUUUAAUGUGGUCUUAUUAAAACACAAUCCCAGGAGAGGGCACAACUGAAGCCAGCAAACAUCUGCAGCUUAUCAGGAGACACAAAUACACAAAUACAGUGCAUGGUUGCUCUUUGAUUCACACUUUAAUAAAGGUUUAUAAUAAAA